UGACCUUGACAGUUGGUGCUUUUAGCAAAGCCCAGUAGGAUGGUAGAAGGAGGACUGGAUUGGGAGUCAGGAAACCUGGGUUUUAGUCUUGAUUUUUGUCAUAAGUACACUGUUUGAAUUUGGGCAUGUCUGAGCCUCAGUUUCCUUGUGUGUGAAAUGAAGCCCCUGUGUAAGAAUGUUUAAGGAGAGAAUCCUUCCUUAGGGUGGAGGCAUGAUACAGUGAAGAGCUCAGACCUGCAUUCAAAGCUUGGUCCUUGCGUUUUCCAGCUGUGUAACCUUGGGCAGUUUGCUUCACCUCAUUGAGACUCAGUUUCUUCAUCAAUAAAAUGGGAAGAUACUUCCUUCCAUGUGAUCUUGUGAGAAUGGAAUGCACAGCAAAGCUCAGUUUCUGACUCGAGACCAGAAGUGACUGGAGACAUUCUAAUCAGUCCUAUCUCUUGUAUUUUGAUUCAAAUGGAGCCUAGGACUGCUGGAGCACCCAGCUGGGGACC
rnacentral:lncRNA from 10 species